rnacentral:rRNA from 1 species
UGGGGAAUAUUGCACAAUGGACGGAAGUUUGAUGCAGCGACGCCGCGUGGAGGGUGUAGGCCUUCGGGUUGUGAACUCCUUUUUCUCGCGAAAAAGGCACAGUUUUGGCCGUGUUGAUGGUAGUGGGGGAAGAAGCGCCGGCUAACUACGUGCCAGCAGCCGCGGUAAUACGUAGGGCGCGAGCGUGGUCCGGAUUUAUUGGGCGUAAAGAGCUCGUAGGUGGUUCGUCGCGUCUGUCGUGAAAGCCAGCAGCUUAACUGUUGGUCUGCGGUGGGUACGGGCGGGCUUGAGUGCGGUAGGGGGGGCUGGAAUUCCUGGUGUAGCGGUGGAAUGCGCAGAUAUCAGGAGGAACACCGAUGGCGAAGGCAGGUCACUGGGCCGUUACUGACACUGAGGAGCGAAAGCGUGGGGAGCGAACAGG